UGAACGCUGGCGGCAGGCCUAACACAUGCAAGUCGAACGGUAACAGGAAGAAGCUUGCUUCUUUGCUGACGAGUGGCGGACGGGUGAGUAAUGUCUGGGAAACUGCCUGAUGGAGGGGGAUAACUACUGGAAACGGUAGCUAAUACCGCAUAACGUCGCAAGACCAAAGAGGGGGACCUUCGGGCCUCUUGCCAUCGGAUGUGCCCAGAUGGGAUUAGCUAGUAGGUGGGGUAACGGCUCACCUAGGCGACGAUCCCUAGCUGGUCUGAGAGGAUGACCAGCCACACUGGAACUGAGACACGGUCCAGACUCCUACGGGAGGCAGCAGUGGGGAAUAUUGCACAAUGGGCGCAAGCCUGAUGCAGCCAUGCCGCGUGUAUGAAGAAGGCCUUCGGGUUGUAAAGUACUUUCAGCGGGGAGGAAGGGAGUAAAGUUAAUACCUUUACUCAUUGACGUUACCCGCAGAAGAAGCACCGGCUAACUCCGUG
rnacentral:rRNA from 1 species